rnacentral:rRNA from 1 species
GGAUGAACGCUAGCGGCAGGCCUAAUACAUGCAAGUCGAACGGUGAUAGCAAUAUCAUAGUGGCGCACGGGUGCGUAACACGUAUGCAACCUACCUAUUAUUGGGGGAUAGCCUUUGGAAACGGAGAUUAAUACCGCAUAAUACGAUUGACUGGCAUCGGUUGAUUGUUAAAGCUUUGGCGAUAAAAGAUGGGCAUGCAUCCAAUUAGUUAGUUGGCGAGGUAACGGCUCACCAAGACGAUGAUUGGUAGGGGAACUGAGAGGUUAAUCCCCCACACUGGCACUGAGAUACGGGCCAGACUCCUACGGGAGGCAGCAGUAGGGAAUAUUGGGCAAUGGAGGGAACUCUGACCCAGCCAUGCCGCGUGCAGGAUGAAGGCGUUAUGCGUUGUAAACUGCUUUUAUAUAGGAAGAAACAGACCUUGCGAGGUAAAUUGACGGUACUAUAUGAAUAAGCACCGGCUAACUCCGUGCCAGCAGCCGCGGUAAUACGGAGGGUGCAAGCGUUGUCCGGAUUUAUUGGGUUUAAAGGGUGCGUAGGCGGUUUAUUAAGUCAGUGGUGAAAGACGGUCGCUCAACGAUUGCAGUGCCAUUGAUACUGGUAGACUUGAGUGUGAUUGAGGUAGCUGGAAU